GUUUCUAUUUUGGGAAAUAAUAAGGGAUCACUUAGAGCUUAAUUAAUUCACUAAUUGUCUACUUAAAUAAAUCUCCCCAAUUAUUUUGCAACACCCUCUCUCUCCUCUAAACUCACGCACGCCCCUUCCAUCUCUCUCUAUCCUCUUCUUCAUCCCUCCACCACCAAACCCUAGCGCCGCCUCCACUGCCUAGCUCCGCCACCACCCUCCGCCGUCUCCACUGCCUAGCGCCGCCGCCAUCCUCCACCGCAUGCUGCCUCUCUCCCACAAAAUCUGCUCGUCGCUUUCCCUCUCUGCUUGGCCUUGCCGCCUUCUCCAUCUCGACCCUUUUCUCCACCACCCCACCGCCGCCUCAAUCUGCUUGCCGUCGAUCUGCCGCCACCA
rnacentral:lncRNA from 1 species